GCAUGCCUACAUCAUAGCGUUAAUGCAUCGGAACCCAUUAGAACUCUGCAGUUAAGUGCGCUCAGACUAGAGUAGUAUUGGGAUGGGUGGCCGCCUGGGAAGUCCUAGUGUUUUACAUGCC
rfam:Picea glauca, whole genome shotgun sequence.